AUUGAACGCUAGCGGGAUGCCUUACACAUGCAAGUCGAACGGAGGGGCGAACGGGUGAGUAAUGUAUCGGAACGUGCCCAGUAGCGGGGGAUGACUACGCCAACGCGUAGCUGAUACCGAAUCCUAUUGGAGCGGCCGGUACCGGAUUAGCUAGUUGGUGGGGUAACGGCUCACCAAGGCGACGAUGCGUAGCUGGUUUGAGAGGACGACCAGCCACACUGUGACUGAGACACGGCCCAGACGCCUACGGGAGGCAGCAGUGGGGAAUAUUGGACAAUGGGGGAAAUCCUGAUCCAGCCAUCCCGCGUGUGUGAUGAAGGCCUUCGGGUUGUAAAGCACUUUUGGCAGGAACGCGUUACCUGCAGAAUAAGCACCGGCUAACUACGUGCCAGCAGCCGCGGUAAUAC
rnacentral:rRNA from 1 species